GCCGUCUCUGCCCGGGAGAGAGCGGAGCUCCGGGGCGCCUGGAUGAGGGGGGUGCUUUGCAAUUAGCCGGUCACACCCCCGAGUCGUGGGUUUAAUUUUGAUUUUUGAUAUUUUUUUCUCUCCUGAGCGCUGUAGGGUGUUCAGGAAAAUGAGUUCUUUUGCCUUCCCUAGCUAUGAGACUGAAAUUGAUCCUUGUUUACAGCUGGAGAAGAACAGAAGAGAUGUUAACACCAGAAGACCACACAAAGGAUAAAGCAAUACCAUCACCUCACCCAUUUGCUUUGAGUUAAAAAAAACCCAAAUCAUAAAAUCCUGCCUGAGAUUGGAAUACAGCUUCAUUCUUCUGUAACAUUGUUUGAAUUACUAUAGCUGCUACUGUAGUUCUGGUUUCAUUUACUUAGGUCAAUCUAAUAUUCUGGAUAAUGCUCUGACGCUCUAAAGAAAUCUUCAGAGUAAAGUUCCAGAAAAAAAACUUGUGUUGCAGCCAAGAUAAACUCCUCACUGGAGCUAUAGGGAAGGUUCAAUAGAAUUUAUAGGGAAAGCGACAUUUUCAUUUAAAAAUUAUGAAAACAGUUGACAGGAGCUUUAUCUUGUUUGAUCCUUAUUAAGUUUUCAUAGUGAGAUGGUGCUCCCUGUGUCCCAGAGGCAAAAAUUGCCAUGUCUUAUCAUGUUUGUUUAGCAUCUGCUUUUGUAAUAGAGAUUUUUUGUAAACUACAUGAACCCAGAAGAUUCCUGCUGAUGAACA